rnacentral:lncRNA from 1 species
GUGUUACAAUUCAUAUUUAAACGCAACACAUAAAUAGUGACCAAAAAGGUACCGCUAACGCAUGAGAGAAGCUAGAAAAAAAAUGAAAUUUACGCAUUUUCGACAUUUUUGUGGGACCAUCAUAUACAAUUUUAAAAGAUGUGGUUUCAUUGUCAAUUUAAAGACAUACAUUCAUAGAACAAAGAACAAAAAAGUGAACUUAUUCAUAUGCGGAU